rnacentral:rRNA from 1 species
GAGGAAGUAAAAGUCGUAACAAGGUCUCCGUUGGUGAACCAGCGGAGGGAUCAUUAGAGAGUUCUACGACUCCCAAAACCCCAUGUGAACCUUACCACACGUUGCCUCGGCAGGCCCCGGCCCCCCCCCCUACCCCCCGGUAGGCGCGCGCGGGGGCCCCUCCUGCCGGCGGCCCACGAAAACCCCGUCAUAGCAUUGCAUCUCUGAGCAGGAUUAACUGAAAUACGUUAAAAACUUUCAACAACGGAUCUCUUGGUUCUGGCAUCGAUGAAGAACGCAGCGAAAUGCGAUAAGUAAUGUGAAUUGCAGAAUUCAGUGAAUCAUCGAAUCUUUGAACGCACAUUGCGCCCAUUAGUAUUCUAGUGGGCAUGCCUGUUCGAGCGUCAUUUCAACCCUUAAGCCCUAGCUGCUUAGCGUUGGGGGCCGGCGAGCGCCUGCUCGCCGCCCCUCGAAGUCAGUGGCGGAGCCGGUCACACACUCGUAGACGUAGUAGAUCUCUCGUCUCGCCUGCGGUUGUGCCGGCCCCCUGCCGUAAAACACCCCCUUAUAUUACCAAAGGUUGACCUCGGAUCAGGUAGGAAUACCCGCUGAACUUAAGCAACAU